GGGAAUCUGCCCCUUGGUUCGGAAUAACAGUUAGAAAUGACUGCUAAUACCGGAUGACGACGUAAGUCCAAAGAUUUAUCGCCGAGGGAUGAGCCCGCGUAGGAUUAGCUAGUUGGUGUGGUAAGAGCGCACCAAGGCGACGAUCCUUAGCUGGUCUGAGAGGAUGAUCAGCCACACUGGGACUGAGACACGGCCCAGACUCCUACGGGAGGCAGCAGUGGGGAAUAUUGGACAAUGGGCGAAAGCCUGAUCCAGCAAUGCCGCGUGAGUGAUGAAGGCCUUAGGGUUGUAAAGCUCUUUUACCCGGGAUGAUAAUGACAGUACCGGGAGAAUAAGCUCCGGCUAACUCCGUGCCAGCAGCCGCGGUAAUACGGAGGGAGCUAGCGUUAUUCGGAAUUACUGGGCGUAAAGCGCACGUAGGCGGCUUUGUAAGUUAGAGGUGAAAGCCUGGAGCUCAACUCCAGAAUUGCCUUUAAGACUGCAUCGCUCGAAUCCAGGAGAGGUGAGUGGAAUUCCGAGU
rnacentral:rRNA from 1 species